rnacentral:misc_RNA from 1 species
UAAUAAGUGUUUUAUGGCACUUUUUUAAAUCCAUAUCCACCUUGUGUGCAAUGUCAGCCGGUUUUUCUUUUUCGUCAAGAAAAAAGGAUCGACCAAACAUCAACUUAUUCUAAUUGAACUUUUGUCUGAAAACUAUUAUGAAUAAGCUAAUUCAAAAUA